rnacentral:rRNA from 1 species
UGGGGAAUAUUGCACAAUGGGCGCAAGCCUGAUGCAGCCAUGCCGCGUGUAUGAAGAAGGCCUUCGGGUUGUAAAGUACUUUCAGCGGGGAGGAAGGGAGUAAAGUUAAUACCUUUGCUCAUUGACGUUACCCGCAGAAGAAGCACCGGCUAACUCCGUGCCAGCAGCCGCGGUAAUACGGAGGGUGCAAGCGUUAAUCGGAAUUACUGGGCGUAAAGCGCACGCAGGCGGUUUGUUAAGUCAGAUGUGAAAUCCCCGGGCUCAACCUGGUAACUGCAUCUGAUACUGGUCAGCUAGAGUCUUGUAGAGGGGGGUAGAAUUCCAUGUGUAGCGGUGAAAUGCGUAGAGAUGUGGAGGAAUACCGGUGGCGAAGGCGGCCCCCUGGACAAAGACUGACGCUCAGGUGCGAAAGCGUGGGGAGCAAACAGG